CCCUUAGAUGUUCUGGGCCGCACGCGCGCUACACUGACGAAUGCAACGAGCUUAUAACCUUGGCCGAAAGGUCUGGGUAAUCUCCAAAUUUCGUCGUGAUGGGGAUAGAUUAUUGCAAUUAUUAAUCUUCAACGAGGAAUGCCUAGUAAGCGCAAGUCAUCAGCUUGCGUUGAUUACGUCCCUGCCCUUUGUACACACCGCCCGUCGCUCCUACCGAUUGAAUGCUCAGGUGAGCCAUUCGGACUUUCAUCAUGCUGGUUUCCAGUUUUGAUGAAGGAAAGUCUUGCGAACCUUAUCAUUUAGAGGAAGGAGAAGUCGUAACA
rnacentral:rRNA from 1 species